rnacentral:rRNA from 1 species
AUUGAACGCUGGCGGCAGGCUUAACACAUGCAAGUCGAGCGGGGUGAUGGUGCUUGCACUAUCACUUAGCGGCGGACGGGUGAGUAAUGCUUAGGAAUCUGCCUAUUAGUGGGGGACAACAUCUCGAAAGGGAUGCUAAUACCGCAUACGUCCUACGGGAGAAAGCAGGGGAUCACUUGUGACCUUGCGCUAAUAGAUGAGCCUAAGUCGGAUUAGCUAGUUGGUGGGGUAAAGGCCUACCAAGGCGACGAUCUGUAGCGGGUCUGAGAGGAUGAUCCGCCAAACUGGGACUGAGACACGGCCCAGACUCCUACGGGGGGCAGCAGUGGGGAAUAUUGGACAAUGGGGGAACCCUGAUCCAGCCAUGCCGCGUGUGUGAAGAAGGCCUUAUGGUUGUAAAGCACUUUAAGCGAGGAGGAGGCUCUUUUGGUUAAUACCCAAGAUGAGUGGACGUUACUCGCGGAAUAAGCACCGGCUAACUCUGUGCCAGCCGCCGCGGUAA